rnacentral:misc_RNA from 1 species
AAGUCGUAACAAGGUUUCCGUAGGUGAACCUGCGGAAGGAUCAUUAACACGUUUGAAUACGUUUUCUAUGAACCAUUUCAAUUUUCUGUGCACUUCUCGAAACCGGCCUCCUGAGCCGUCCUCCGGGUUUACUCGGUGCUGACGUGUUUGGGCGUCUUUGGGAAUCACAAAACGGAAAGGGGAUAGGCGGCAGGUAGGAACUUGGGUCUUCUUUUAAAAAGAAGACUUUUGAGAACCUCUUGUUGCUUGUUCUUUUUUUGCUUUGCCCUUAGGCGUUGCCACAACCCCAACCCUUUAACCUGUAUGUCUGAACUCUGAAGUUGGCGAAUUCACUUUUGCUAACGACAUUUAAAAACAAUAACAACUCUUAACAACGGAUAUCUUGGUUCUC